CCACCAUCGGAAUAUUUGCGUUCCCUACCCUGGGAUAAGCGGGAAGGGAGAACCGGAGAGGCUUAUCACAUUGAUGCAGCGUGUCAAUGAGGGGGAAGCAGUGAUCCGACCCCCACACAGCGUGCAGAUUACUCCACCCACUCAACUAGGCCUUCAUUUCAUCUGGACCACGUAUGAAAAUAUGUAUUACUCAUUAUGACAUUUAAAGAGUGUAAAAUAAAAACAAAGAAUGACGACCCAAGACUUCAAGCUAAAGAUGAUGUGGAUAAGCAAGAAACGAGUAUAUUCUCGUUCCUCAUAAGCUCAUGGAGAAUAUAUACUAUCUGGUGAUCAUCCUACACUGCCUCUGCAACACACCUUGCAGCAUGGCUAGAUAAAAGGCCGCUGGAGCCCGAAUAGCCACACUCGUCUCCGGACUUGACCAUCCAACAUGAACUUGCUGAGUAUAUUGCUGUUGGUCGCGGCGGCGGUGGCUAGUGUAAUGGCCCAGCAGAAGCCAACUAUUUUGCUGGAGAACCCAUCUAACCGGCAGAAUCCAAUGUGGGUGCAGCCUCCACGUUUCCACUACCGCGGUUUCAACCGCCCUCAAAUGGCUGCUCGUUGGCCGUGACUGUCCACACACUUCUGCAGAAAUCUGGUCAUGACGAACUGCUGGGCCCUUGAUAAGCCAACCUUCACUCGAUAUAUGACAAAAUAAGUAACAUGGUUGAAGAAGAUACAUGAUAGAUACACUUCCAAAUUACUCAGUGAAACUUAUCUAGUAUACCGCAAUGUUUCCACUUCCACUGAAUUCACCUUUUGUAAUAUCAAGAAAUAUAUACUAUAUUCA